AGAAAUAAUUUUAAAAAGCUUCUAACUUUUAACAAAGCAUAAUAUGUUUAUAUUUCUU
rnacentral:tRNA from 2 species